GACGAACGCUGGCGGCGUGCUUAACACAUGCAAGUCGAACGGUAAGGCCCUUCGGGGUACACGAGUGGCGAACGGGUGAGUAACACGUGGGUGAUCUGCCCUGCACUUCGGGAUAAGCCUGGGAAACUGGGUCUAAUACCGGAUAGGACCACUGCCUGCAUGGGUGGUGGUGGAAAGCUUUUGCGGUGUGGGAUGGGCCCGCGGCCUAUCAGCUUGUUGGUGGGGUGCUGGCCUACCAAGGCGACGACGGGUAGCCGGCCUGGGAGGGUGACCGGCCAGACUGGGACUGAGAUACGGCCCAGACUCCUGCGGGAGGGAGCAGUGGGGAAUAUUGCACAAUGGGCGCAAGCCUGAUGCAGCGACGCCGCGUGAGGGAUGACGGCCUUCGGGUUGUAAACCUCUUUCAGCACCGACGAAGCGCAAGUGACGGUAGGUGCAGAAGAAGGACCGGCCAACUACGUGCCAGCCGCCGCCGUAA
rnacentral:rRNA from 1 species